rnacentral:rRNA from 1 species
UACGAGGGGGGCAAAUGUUGUUCGGAAUCACUGGGCGUAAAGGGAGCGUAGGCGGGUUUCUAAGUCAGGUGUUUAAUCCCGGGGCCCAACCCCGGACAGGCACUAGAAACUGGGAAUCUUGAAUAGGGGAGAGGUCGGUGGAAUUGGAGGUGUAGCGGUGGAAUGCGUAGAGAUCUCCAAGAACACCAGUUGCGAAGGCGGCCGACUGGACCCAUAUUGACGCUGAGGCUCGAAAGCAUGGGGAGCAAACAGG